UACGUAGGGGGCUAGCGUUGUCCGGAAUCAUUGGGCGUAAAGCGCGCGUAGGCGGCCCGGUAAGUCCGCUCUGAAAGUCCAGGGCUCAACCCUGGAAAGCGGGUGGAUACUGCCGGGCUAGAAUCCGGAAGAGGCGAGUGGAAUUCCUGGUGUAGCGGUGGAAUGCGUAGAUAUCUCUAAGAACACCAGUUGCGAAGGCGGCUGGCUGGGUCCACAUUGACGCUGAGGCUCGAAAGCGUGGGGAGCAAACAGG
rnacentral:rRNA from 1 species